rnacentral:rRNA from 1 species
GACGAACGCUGGCGGCGUGCCUAAUACAUGCAAGUAGAACGCACAGUUUAUACCGUAGCUUGCUACACCGUAGACUGUGAGUUGCGAACGGGUGAGUAACGCGUAGGUAACCUGCCUGGUAGCGGGGGAUAACUAUUGGAAACGAUAGCUAAUACCGCAUAAUAUUAAUUAUUGCAUGAUAAUUAAUUGAAAGGUGCAAUUGCACCACUACCAGAUGGACCUGCGUUGUAUCAGCUAGUAGGUGAGGUAACGGCUCACCUAGGCGACGAUACAUAGCCGACCUGAGAGGGUGAUCGGCCACACUGGGACUGAGACACGGCCCAGACUCCUACGGGAGGCAGCAGUAGGGAAUCUUCGGCAAUGGACGAAAGUCUGACCGAGCAACGCCGCGUGAGUGAAGAAGGUUUUCGGAUCGUAAAGCUCUGUUGUAAGAGAAGAACGGGUGUGAGAGUGGAAAGUUCACACUGUGACGGUAUCUUACCAGAAAGGGACGGCUAACUACGUG